rnacentral:rRNA from 1 species
CUGGGAGGACCAUCUCCUAAGGCUAAAUACUCUCUAGUGACCGAUAGUGAACCAGUACCGUGAGGGAAAGGUGAAAAGCACCCCGGAAGGGGAGUGAAAUAGAACCUGAAACCGUGUGCUUACAAGUAGUCAGAGCCCGUUAAUGGGUGAUGGCGUGCCUUUUGUAGAAUGAACCGGCGAGUUACGAUUUGAUGCAAGGUUAAGCAGUAAAUGUGGAGCCGUAGCGAAAGCGAGUCUGAAUAGGGCGUUUAGUAUUUGGUCGUAGACCCGAAACCAGGUGAUCUACCCUUGGUCAGGUUGAAGUUCAGGUAACACUGAAUGGAGGACCGAA